rnacentral:rRNA from 1 species
UACAGAGGUGCCAAGCGUUAGGCGGAAUCACUGGGCGUAAAGCGCACGUAGGCGGAUUGCUAAGUCAGGGGUGAAAUCCUGGAGCUCAACUCCAGAACUGCCUUUGAUACUGGUGAUCUUGAGUCCGGGAGAGGUGAGUGGAACUGCGAGUGUAGAGGUGAAAUUCGUAGAUAUUCGCAAGAACACCAGUGGCGAAGGCGGCUCACUGGCCCGGUACUGACGCUGAGGUGCGAAAGCUAGGGGAGCAAACGGG